rnacentral:rRNA from 1 species
UACGGAGGGUGCAAGCGUUAUCCGGAUUCACUGGGUUUAAAGGGUGCGUAGGCGGGCAGGUAAGUCCGUGGUGAAAUCUCCGAGCUUAACUCGGAAACUGCCAUGGAUACUAUUUGUCUUGAAUGUUGUGGAGGUGAGCGGAAUAUGUCAUGUAGCGGUGAAAUGCUUAGAUAUGACAUAGAACACCAAUUGCGAAGGCAGCUCACUACAC